AAAAUGGGUAAAUGGAUGAAAUUAUAAGCAAGGUUAUGUUGUAACUCAAUUCGAUUGAAGGUCCCUCUUAGGAAUGGAAAAUGGACAGCAAUCCGAAACACAGGUAAUUUCUCCUCAGUUUAAUAAUAAUAAUAAUAACUUUUUUAGAUCAAAAUUCAACCGUGUUCUAACUCUUACUAAAUUGGACUGAUCUUGACUCAACUUUUUCCUCUUCUUAUAUACCCUUUUUUCCCUCCCCAAAAAAAUUUCUUCGUUCUAUUUUUAACUCCGACUCCUGAUUGGUUGGUGGGUUUCGCGCCAUUUCUUCCCUUAAAAUAAUUUCAAAUUUUACUUAAUUACGAAAACGCCAUCUAGUGGAUUUCUUUCGAACCACUCAAAAUUCCAACAUUAUUUUAUUCAUAUCUUCUUUAAUUCUUCACUAAUUUGGAUGAAACUGCGUAUUUGAUGCAUAUGAGUUUCUAUUUCAGCCGUCCAUUGGAGGUUUCAAGAUUCUCCAACCACAAAAGAAGUUUGAAUUUUACAACCUUUAAAUCCACUUUUCAAGAUCAAAAUUGUUCAAAAUCUUCCAGAAUCUAAUAAAUUAGAUGUAGCUGACGCUGAUCUUCCCAUUUUGGAUGGUUUAGAAAGGAUGGUAAUAGUUUUAAAGAAAUUAUGAGCAACUAAAAAUUAACUGUCAACUGAAUUGAGGUUAUGUUUCUUUCUCAGGUAAAACUUGUCUCGGAAGUUUUAUUAAACUAUUUAUUUCGUCAUAAACACUUAAUGACAUCUAUUUGUUUAAAAACCUAGAUUAAUUAAUGUUUGACCAAAAAAAUAAAUACUUUUGACAGUUAAUAUAACCUCAACAUAAUUGUUAUUUACUUAAUUAAAAAUUAACAAUUAAACACAUUUAAACUGA
rnacentral:lncRNA from 1 species